CAGGAUAUAGUUUAAGCAAAAUCUUGGCUUUGGGAGUCAAGGAUGAGAGUUCAAUCCUCUUUAUUCUGA
rnacentral:tRNA from 1 species